UUCCAGAAUGACGCCGCUGCUCCUCACCGUCUACGCCUACUUCCACCGGUGAACCCCUACCACCUCCACCAUCACCUCCACCUUCACCUGCAGAUUUUAUGCUUACUAAGUAUACAAUUAAUCCAUGUCCUUGAAAUAUUUCCAUCAAACAGAAAUGCCUGCUGCCAUGGCCGACUCAGCUCCAGAUAUCCCCCAAGAACUCAUCAUCGAUAUUCUCUUACGACUCCCGACAAAAUCCGUCGGCAAAUGCAGGUGCGUUUCGAAGCCAUGGCGCUCUCUACUUUCCGACCCACUUUUCAUCAAAGCCCACCUCAGUCUCCACCUCCAUCACCCCCAAAAGCACAUCCUCAUCUCCAUUUCCCGUUCUCCUCCCUCUUCCUAUUUAUCCGUUGUAACUUUCACCACCACCAGUGGCAGCAGUAACAACGACGGCUUUUUGGAAAAGCUGACCCUUUUGCAGAACCAAUUGAUCUUCGCUCAAAUUGUCGGUUCUUGCAACGGGUUGGUCUUGGUGCUAACGUUUGAAGGAUCAGACACACCAACUAUGUAUUUGAUGAACCCCACUACCAGGGAGCUUGUGAAAUUUCAACACAGCCCAUUGGUUUGGGAUGACGCAGACACUAGUUAUGGUUUCGGUUAUGAUUGUUCUAGUGAUGAUUAUAAAAUUGUUAUGCUGUCUCACGAUUGGCUUGCUGACAAAACAGAGGGUUAUCCUGCCUUUGUUGAUGUAUUUAGUUGGAGGAUUGGAACUUGGAGGAGGAUUGGUUGUUUUCCUUAUGUUCCUAGUUCGCAUUCUGGGGUGUUUCUAAACGGGUCUAUACACUGGCUUGCUUUGUCUAAAGUUGAUGGAUUGUGUGUUAUAAUUGCUUUGGAUAUGAGCUGCGAGCAAUUUAAGCAAUUGCCAUGGCCUGAGACUGAUAAUACUCCUCGUAAGCGCAGCCGUAAGCUUGUAGUGCUUGGUGGAUGUCUAGGAAUGGUUGCCGUGCAAUCUAGACAUCACAUGGAUGUUUGGAUGAUGAAGGAGUAUGGUGUUAGAGAAUCUUGGACCAAAUUUAGUGUUACUAUACCAAAAAAGGCGUCUGUGUGGGGACCUAUAUGCCUGUUGGGGGUUGAUGAUGUUGUUUUGGAGAUGGGUGGGAAGAACUUUGUUGUGCAUAAUUUGAAAGAGAGAACUAUGAGGGAUAUGCUAAUUGCUGGCAUUCAAGAUAAGUUUAGAAGAGGAGUAAUGGGCUUUUGUGAGAGUCUUGUGUCACCUACUUUCUACAGUCAGAAAUGGAGAGCAUCGUAACCCCGUGGACGACUUUGAAAAUUCAUGCUAGUGGAGUUGGUGGAUUUGCUAGAUAAAAGCUACUGGUUUAAAUUUAGUACCAUGCAAUUGUACUGUUAAGGUGCAUGACCAAGUUCCAAGCUGCUCUUAGAUUGAAUGGAGCUUUUUCUUAACCUGUGCUAUCCUGUAACUUGUGAGAAGGAUGCGAACAGCAGGGAUGUUUUUGCUUUGCACAAUACAAAAUCAGCAUAUUUUGAGGUCGAAUUACAGAGCAAUUAUAGAGAUUGAUUACAAAGCAAUUGUAGAGGUUUCUUUGAUGCUGCUGCUUGUGUCUUAUGGAGAUUUGUUAUGGAGUUGAUGGAGCUACAAAGCACUUGGUAACUAUUAUUGAACAUAUCUUUGUGUGGCGAUUCACUGUGCAUAUCACCCAUAUGUGUUACAGGAGGAGCCUGGUAGAAUAGGCUGUUUGAUUUGGUUGUACAUGUUAUUUGGCUGUUAGUAUAUGAAUGUUUGCCUCACAAUUGCCCUAUUAAGUGCACUUUAUUCUCUUUGGUGAUAAAAGAUUGCCAAUCCUCAAACCUUACCAGUCUUUGAUGUAUGAACUGUGCCGGUCAUUAGUCUUCAAUGUGGAUGGUCACUCAGGUUCUUUAAGACCUCAAACAGAGUGCAGUGGUUAUGAGGGAAACAAAUAAAAAGAAGAAAAAGGAAAAAGCAGUUAAAACAUUUGGUAGAAAGCUCUUCCAAAUUUCCAUGGCACAUUACAGUCCAAAAAAACAAUUAGUGGUUAACCUACUACAAGUUUCUAUUGCAUUUCCUUUAUUUAUAUAUUCUUUUCCUAAGGAUUUGUUAGUAGAAAUCUUAGUGAAAUAAAAAUGAUUAGCUUUAUUUUUUUCUUCUAGCAAUUCAGAAUUUGUAGAGCUUUUGGAAUAUCAGUCAGUACCCAUUUGUUCUUCAAGGUACUUGCUACGUUUGUUUUUUAGUGUGUGGUCUGUAGUGUACAACCUAAUCCAUUCAUACUUUUUCCUACUGCCAAUCAUUCAAAUGAAAUUUAAGAAAAUUGUUCCCCGUAAGAUGUGCAUCUCUGGUGAAACAAAUUUUAUAAAGAAGUAUAUGCUAGACAAGACAAUUGACGCAGGUUCUAUUUUGAAGAAAAUCCUGCAUUAAAUCCAUCAAAGGAAAACAACUAAAUAAAUGAGUGUUUAUGAUUAACCCAUGUCGCUAAAAGAAGUCCAUCAUUCCCCAAUGCCAGUGGCCACGAGGCUGUUAGAACUGGGGUUGCCUUGGGAUAUGACAGCUCUAAUGAUGACCACAAAAUCGUUAUCCUAUCGUGUUAUGCAAAACCUAAUCUUAAUGAUACUUUGGUUGAUGUUUUUAGUUUGAGGAAUGGAACUUGGAAGAGAAUUAAGCAUUUUCCUUAUCAUCUUGAUUUUCAUUACGGGGUGUUACUGCACGGUGCUAUACAUUGGUUUGUGUAUUCAGAUGCUUCACUGAUAGCUUUUGAUUUGAGUUGCGAUAAAUUUAAGCCAAUGCCAAUGCCUACAGGUAUUUCUGCCCCUAUUAAGCUUUUAGAUUUUGGUGGAUGUCUAGCAAUGUUUGUGCAACAAAGACGGUCUAAUUAUCAGAUCGAUCAGGUGGAUAUUUGGAUGAUGAAAGAGUAUGGUGUUGCAGAAUCUUGGGAUGAAAAUAAGUCUUAUUACACCUAAUAAACCUAUUUGUCUAUUGAGAAAUGAUAAUGUUGUUUUUGUCGCUGAGGAACAGAAAUUCUUGGGAGAUAAUAAUGCUAUUUUUGUGGUGAAGCAAAAAAAGUUAGUUUUGCGCAACUUGAUAGAGAAAACUACGAGGGAUAUGGUGGUUGCUGGCAUUGGUGAUCACUUGCAAGAUGUUAUGGGCUUUUCUGAGAGCCUUGUGUCGCCUCUUUACUACAGUCAAAAUUGGAGAGCAACAUAAACUUGAGGAUUGACAGGAAAUCAAUGCUGAGGAAGGUAUAGGCUUACAAGUUUAUUGAAUUAUGUAACAUAAUUUUAUUUAUUUUGUCAUCAAAUCUUAGUUAUCACAUGGAUAUCUAUAUUGUUAUCUGAUAUCCAGCUUGGGAAAAAUUGCAUAUUGGUUGUCUUAUACUUUGUAGGCUUUGCAAUGAUUGACAGAUUUGUACAAGAUAUUUUGCAGUACUUGCUGAUUUUGUUGAACCACAGCAUUCUGAACGGGGGGAAUUCAUUUAAUAGAACCAAAAUAAGUUCGUCAAUCAAUUGAAAUUGAAAGAAUUGGGAAUGAAAUUGUGCUUCGUGAAUGGGAAAAUAUUGUUGCAUAUUGUAUGAAGUGAGGUGGUUGGUUUCUUUUUGUGGCUACUGUCAAUUAAGCAAAGCUGAGUGCCAAUGCUUGUUGGUUUUCUGACAAAGGGAAAAAGAAAGUUAAAAGACCUAUAGAUAGUUUUGAAAAUUUGUAGCUCUCUUGCAUAUUAACUUUGAUCACGCCUUUUUCCAGAUUCGUUGUUCAAAAAAGUUAUUUUUGGUAUUUCUGCAUACUUUUUGGUUUUUGUCCGUCUCUUGCUUUUUGUUUCCCCCGUUCCCCUCUUCCAACUAUUGUUGCAGGUAGGAAAAGUUUUAGCAGUUUGGCCUCUUCUAUUAUUGGUUAAUGGAUUUUCUAGAUAAAAGCUCUCAGUCCAAAUAAACUGUGUUGGUGCUUCAUUCCUAGCUGAGAACAUAGUUUCUAGGAUUGUGUAAAUAGCUGAUUCAGGACAAUGUUGCUUGCUGGAGGAUGGUCCCAAGGUCUCAAGCAAAUUGGCUUCUCUUGUUUGGAACUUCAAUCCAAACAUCUUAUGUGCUGAGUAAUUUGUGUUGUGGUAGUUAUAGUUAUACUAGAUACUGAUUGGCUGUUCCAUAGUGUUUUGUUACUGGUGAAUAUUUCUUGCAAUAACAAGAAAACUUAAAUUUACUUAAUUUUUUUGUUAGUACCAUCUACCCUGCAAUUGUACUGGUAAGGUGCAUCCUUGGACCAAGGUGCUCUAAAUUGAGUGGAUUCUUUUUUUCGUCCAUGUCAUCAUAUCCCAUGGCAAAAGA